rnacentral:rRNA from 1 species
GGGUUGUGAGGUUAAGCGACUAAGCGUACACGGUGGAUGCCCUGGCAGUCAGAGGCGAUGAAGGACGUGCUAAUCUGCGAUAAGCGUCGGUGAGGUGAUAUGAACCGUUAUAACCGGCGAUUUCCGAAUGGGGAAACCCAGUGUGUUUCGACACACUAUCAUUAACUGAAUCCAUAGGUUAAUGAGGCGAACCGGGGGAACUGAAACAUCUAAGUACCCCGAGGAAAAGAAAUCAACCGAGAUUCCCCCAGUAGCGGCGAGCGAACGGGGAGGAGCCCAGAGCCUGAAUCAGUGUGUGUGUUAGUGGAAGC